rnacentral:tRNA from 1 species
GCCUGGGUGGCUCAGUCGGUUGAGCAUCCGACUUCAGCUCAGGUCAUGAUCUCGCGGUCUGUGAGUUCGAGCCCCGCAUCGGGCU